rnacentral:tRNA from 1 species
GGGUGGUUCGGUUAACGGAAAACCUGCGCUCUCCAAAAGCGUGACUGAGAGUUCGAAUCUUUCACCGCCCGCCA